rnacentral:lncRNA from 1 species
GUAUAUAUGCAUAAUAAUUCAAUAUAUAUUACUUUUGCCACCCACUGACUGAAAUGCAGAACAGCUCAAUUGGCGAAGGAGUUGGUCUGCCACACAGCCAACGCGGGUUCGAACCUCACUGCCAACACUUAAUUUUUUGCUUGCUCCUUUUCUUCUUUACUUUUCUUUUUUGUCUUUUUCAUUAGUAUGUAAAGGUGCUUAAUUUAUUUUUUUUCUCCAUUCAUUCUAAUUAUUUACUAUUCUUUAUUAAUUCAAAUUGACUCCUUUUCAUGAUUAAUUUUUAGUUCUUCUUUUCUUUUUCAUCAGUAUGUAAAGGGCUUAAUUUUUUUUUCUCCAUUCAUUCUAAUUUAUUUACUAUUCUUUAUUAAUUCAAAUUGACUCCUUUUCAUGAUUAAUUUUUAAUUGUUUUUGUUUACUUUCUCUUGCACUAAUUAUUAAUCUCUUGAUAUGGGUGUUACAUGUUUAUUUUUAUCAAUUAA